UACGUAGGGUGCAAGCGUUAAUCGGAAUUACUGGGCGUAAAGCGUGCGCAGGCGGUUAUGUAAGACAGAUGUGAAAUCCCCGGGCUCAACCUGGGAACUGCAUUUGUGACUGCAUAGCUAGAGUACGGUAGAGGGGGAUGGAAUUCCGCGUGUAGCAGUGAAAUGCGUAGAUAUGCGGAGGAACACCGAUGGCGAAGGCAAUCCCCUGGGCUGAGAUUGACGCUCAGGCACGAAAGCGUGGGGAACAAACAGG
rnacentral:rRNA from 1 species